rnacentral:rRNA from 1 species
GAUGAACGCUGGCGGCGUGCCUAAUACAUGCAAGUCGAGCGAACAGACGAGGAGCUUGCUCCUCUGACGUUAUCGGCGGACGGGUGAGUAACACGUGGAUAACCUACCUAUAAGACUGGGAUAACUUCGGGAAACCGGAGCUAAUACCGGAUAACAUGUUGAACCGCAUUGUUCAACAGUGAAAGACGGUCUUUCUUUCACUUAUAGAUGGAUCCGCGCCGCAUUAGCUAGUUGGUAAGGUAACGGCUUACCAAGGCAACGAUGCGUAGACGACCUGAGAGGGUGAUCGGCCAGAUGGGAACUGAGAAAGGGCCCAGACUCCGACGGGAGGCAGCAGUAGGGAAUCUUCCGCAAUGGGCGAAAGCCGGACGGAGCAAAGCCGCGUGAGUGAUGAAGGUCUUAGGAUCGUAAAACUCUGUUAUUAGGGAAGAACAAAUGUGUAAGUAACUAUGCACGUCUUGACGGUACCUAAUCAGAAAGCCACGGCUAACUACGUG